GCGCUCGUAGUUCAGCUGGAAGAACGUCAGACUCCGACUCUGAAGGGCACGGGUUCAAAUCCCGCCGGGUGCACCA
rnacentral:tRNA from 1 species